rnacentral:tRNA from 1 species
GCCUGGGUGGCUCAGUCGGUUGAGCGUCUGACUUCGGCUCAGGUCUCAUCUCACAGUCCGUGAGUUUGAGCCCCGUGUCAGGCU